rnacentral:rRNA from 1 species
UACGAGGGGGGCAAGCGUUGUUCGGAAUUAUUGGGCGUAAAGGGUGCGUAGGCGGUUUUGUAAGUCUUGUGUGAAAUCUUCAGGCUCAACUUGAAGACUGCACGAGAAACUGCAGGGCUUGAGUGCAGAAGAGAAGAGCGGAAUUCCACGUGUAGCGGUGAAAUGCGUAGAGAUGUGGAGGAACACCAGUGGCGAAGGCGGCUCUUUGGUCUGUAACUGACGCUGAGGCGCGAAAGCGUGGGGAGCGAACAGG